rnacentral:rRNA from 1 species
UAAUACGUAGGUGGCAAGCGUUGUCCGGAUUUACUGGGCGUAAAGCGUAUGCAGGCGGAUGAGUAAGUAGGAAGUGAAAGGUUGGAGCUCAACUCUAACACGGCUCCCUAUACUGCUUGUCUUGAGUGCCGGAGAGGACAAGGGAACUUCACGUGUAGCGGUGAAAUGCGUUGAGAUGUGAAGGAACACCAAUGGCGAAAGCACUUGUCUGGACGGAAACUGACGCUGAGAUACGAAAGCCAAGGGAGCGAACAGGAUUAGAUACCCUGGUAGUCUUGGCCAUAAACGAUGUUCACUAGGUGUCGGGGGUUCCCCUCGGUGCCGCAGCUAACGCAUUAAGUGAACCGCCUGGGGACUACGGCCGCAAGGUUG